GGUGAGAUGACCGAGUUGUAGGUAGUAAACUGUAAAUUUACUCACGAAAUGAAAAUUUCUUUCACCA
rnacentral:tRNA from 1 species